CCAAAGGCUCUUUUCAGGGCUACCCAUAUCUCCUGGAUAAGAACUU
rfam:Camelus ferus unplaced genomic scaffold scaffold655, whole genome shotgun sequence.